CCUACGGGAGGCAGCAGUGGGGAAUAUUGCACAAUGGGGGAAACCCUGAUGCAGCGACGCCGCGUGAGUGAAGAAGUAUUUCGGUAUGUAAAGCCCUAUCAUCCGGGAAGAAACCCACCCUCCGGGGUGGCUGACGGUACCUGACUAAGAAGCCCCGGCUAACUACGUGCCAGCAGCCGCGGUAAUACGUAGGGGGCAAGCGUUAUCCGGAGUUACUGGGUGUAAAGGGAGCGUAGGUGGCAAGGCAAGUCAGAUGUGAAAACCCGGGGCCCAACCCCGGGAGUGCAUUUGAAACUGUCUGGCUAGAGUGCAGGAGAGGUAAGUGGAAUUCCUAGUGUAGCGGUGAAAUGCAUAGAUAUUAGGAGGAACACCAGUGGCGAAGGCGGCUUACUGGACUGUAACUGACACUGAGGCUCGAAAGCGUGGGGAGCAAACAGGAUUAGAUACCCGGGUAGUC
rnacentral:rRNA from 1 species